UUAAUGCCUCAUAAACCCGACUGUGUGCAUGCACAGACGGUCAAAGAUUUAUCGGUACAGGAUGGGCCUGCGUCUGAUUAGCUAGUUGGUAAGGUAACGGCUUACCAAGGCGACGAUCAGUAGCCGACCUGAGAGGGUGAACGGCCACAUUGGAACUGAGACACGGUCCAAACUCCUACGGGAGGCAGCAGUGGGGAAGGUAACACAAUGGGGGAAACCCUGAUGCAGCAACGCCGCGUGAGCUAUGAAGGCCUU
rnacentral:rRNA from 1 species